rnacentral:rRNA from 1 species
AGUGAACGCUGGCGGUAGGCCUAACACAUGCAAGUCGAACGGCAGCACAGUAAGAGCUUGCUCUUACGGGUGGCGAGUGGCGGACGGGUGAGGAAUACAUCGGAAUCUACUUUUUCGUGGGGGAUAACGUAGGGAAACUUACGCUAAUACCGCAUACGACCUACGGGUGAAAGCAGGGGAUCUUCGGACUUUGCGCGAUUGAAUGAGCCGAUGUCGGAUUAGCUAGUUGGCGGGGUAAAGGCCCACCAAGGCGACGAUACGUAGCUGGUCUGAGAGGAUGAUCAGCCACACUGGAACUGAGACACGGUCCAGACUCCUACGGGAGGCAGCAGUGGGGAAUAUUCGACAAUGGGCGCAAGCCUGAUCCAGCCAUACCGCGUGGGUGAAGAAGGCCUUCGGGUUGUAAAGCCCUUUUGUUGGGAAAGAAAAGCAGCAGGUUAAUACCCCGCUGUUCUGACGGUACCCAAAGAAUAAGCACCGGCUAACUUCGUG